rnacentral:rRNA from 1 species
UACGAAGGGGGCUAGCGUUGCUCGGAAUUAUUGGGCGUAAAGGGCGCGUAGGCGGUUCUAUAAGUCAGGCGUGAAAUUCCUGGGACUUAACCUGGGGGCUGCGGCUUGAGACUGUGGGACUUGAGGUCAGAAGAGGGUCGUGGAAUUCCCAGUGUAGAGGUGAAAUUCGUAGAUAUUCGCAAGAACACCAGUGGCGAAGGCGGCUCACUGGCCCGGUACUGACGCUGAGGUGCGAAAGCGUGGGGAGCAAACAGG